GCGAAGAGGUCACACCCGUUCCCAUACCGAACACGGAAGUUAAGCUCUUCAGCGCCGAUGGUAGUUGGGGGUUUCCCCCUGUGAGAGUAGGACAUCGCCAGGC
rnacentral:rRNA from 2 species